rnacentral:rRNA from 1 species
UACAGAGGGUGCAAGCGUUGCUCGGAAUUAUUGGGCGUAAAGGGUAGGUAGGUGGUCUUGUUUGUCUAGGGUGAAAGCCUCGGGCUUAACCUGAGAAGUGCCUUGGAAACGGCAAGACUAGAGUCCUGGAGAGGGUCGUGGAAUUCCCAGUGUAGCGGUGAAAUGCGUAGAGAUUGGGAGGAACACCAGCGGCGAAGGCGGCGACCUGGACAGGAACUGACACUAAACUACGAAAGCGUGGGGAGCAAACAGG